rnacentral:rRNA from 1 species
AGUGAACGCUGGCGGUAGGCCUAACACAUGCAAGUCGAACGGCAGCACAGUAAGAGCUUGCUCUUACGGGUGGCGAGUGGCGGACGGGUGAGGAAUACAUCGGAAUCUACUUUUUCGUGGGGGAUAACGUAGGGAAACUUACGCUAAUACCGCAUACGACCUACGGGUGAAAGCAGGGGAUCUUCGGACCUUGCGCGAUUGAAUGAGCCGAUGUCGGAUUAGCUAGUUGGCGGGGUAAAGGCCCACCAAGGCGACGAUCCGUAGCUGGUCUGAGAGGAUGAUCAGCCACACGGAAACUGAGACACGGUCCAGACUCCUACGGGAGGCAGCAGUGGGGAAUAUUGGACAAUGGGCGCAAGCCUGAUCCAGCCAUACGGCGUGGGUGAAGAAGGCCUUCGGGUGGUAAAGCCCUUUUGUUGGGAAAGAAAAGCAGCAGGUUAAUACCCCGCCGUUCUGACGGUACCCAAAGAACAAGCACCGGCUAACUUCGU